GGCAGAUCGGGAUUAAAAUCUCCGCCAGCGCUCAAGAGGACUCAUGAUUAUAACAACUGAAUGAAUCUAGGGGGGCCUGGGUGGCUCAGUCAGUUAAGCAUCCAACUCCUGGUCUCAGCUAGGUCAUGAACCCUCGGUUGAAAGUGGAUGGGAACGAGAGGACCCGUCAAUCGCAAAGACGCAAAACCAACCAGCCAAGAGGAAGGGUCCCCUUAAUUCUGUGGAGGAAGCAAGCAAGACAGCUGAGGAUGUUGGGAGGUGGGGGCCUCGGCAGCCUGGAUCUCUUUGGAUGUAAAAUACGAUAAGUAACACCUUCUCUUUGGGAUUGUUGGAAGACCAAAAGGACAAUGUGGGGAUUUGCCGACCCGGCCCACGGUGGGUGCCCAAGGUGGGUGCCCAAGGAUGGCAGGCAAGUUUUGAAGCCCGGUUCUUGGGGGAGUCUAACUAGUUUUAUGGAUCCAGUCUAGCUGGGCAUGAAACUUGCUGUCCAGCACACAAACCCUGAUAUUCUUUCUAGCCCCGGGAUCCCGAACGCGGUCGGGGCGGGAGGUUGGGGGGGGGGGGGCAGGCACUCUGCUGGCCCUUGCAACUGCCUUGAUCACCUGUAACUAUCCAGGGUUUUCAGGCUGGCUUGGGGUAACACCGCCCGGCCCCAUCAAAGAAAUGCAGCGUGAACAGUCCCACACCUCUUGGCUCCUGUCUCUCAAGGAACAUGCAAGUGAAUCUAAUUAAUGACCUUCAGUAUCUUCUGUGCUUUUUUAUUAUCCCAUCCACAGUUCCUGGAGCCUUCCGGUCACUUACAAUUCAAACAAAAGAAACACCAAAAAGCUAGCUCGUGUGUCAUGGGCUCCUUUUCUCUGUCUCGGCACCAGAAGGUUCUAGAAACCGUUUGCAGACUCUCCUCAGGGACUCAGAAGUCAUCAAGCGCCGUCGCCGAGCACUUCUCAAACGGUCCCGUACGCACACGCACACACACAAACACACACGCCAGGAGAGUCUUGUUAACAAGCCCGUGGUCCUGCGUUUCCAGCAUGCUCACGGGACCCUAAUGCUGCUGAUCUGGAGACCUCGCUUUGAGCAGCGAGACUGCGGUAAAAUGUCCCACCUCGGGUCUUUUGUAUUUCUUUUUUUUUUAAGUUUAUUUACUUAUUUGUGUGUGUGUGUGUGUGUGUGUGUGUGUGUGUGUGUGUGUGUGUGUGUGUGUGUGAGAGAGAGAGAGAGAGAGAGAAGAGAGAGAGAGAAUGGGGGGGGGGGGUGGAGGGGCAGAGAAAGAAGAGAGAAAGAAGUCCGAGCAGGCUGUGCGCU
rnacentral:lncRNA from 1 species